AGAGUUUGAUCCUGGCUCAGGAUGAGCGCUGGCGGUAUGCCUAACACAUGCUAGUCGAACGAACCUUACGGGGUGAGUGGCGGAAGGGUGAGUAACACGUGAGAAUCUGCCUCAUGGUCGGGGAUAACAGUGGGAGACGACUGCUAAUACCGGAUGAAUCGAAAGAGAAAAGAGAAAUUGCCAAGAUAAGAGCUUGCGGCUGAUUAGCUAGAUGGUGGGGUAAAAGCGUACCAUGGCAACGAUCAGUAGCUGGUCUGAGAGGAGGAGCAGCCACACUGGGACUGAGACAAGGCCCAGACUCCUACGGGAGGCAGCAGUGGGGAAUAUUCCGCAAUGGGCGAAAGCCAGACGGAGCAAUACCGCGUGAGGGAGGAAGGUUUUAGGAUUGUAAACCUCAAAACUUAGGGAAGAAAAAAAUGACGGUACCUAACAUAAGCAUCGGCUAACUCCGUGCCAGCAGCCGCGGUAAU
rnacentral:rRNA from 1 species